UCAUUAAAGAGUUCUAUAACUCCCAAACCCAUGUGAACAUACCUAACGUUGCCUCGGCAGGUCGCACCUACCUUGUAGCACCCUACCCUGUAGGGCCUACCCGGGAGGUGCGGGUAAGCCUGCCGGCGGCCCACCAAACUCUGUUUGAUAUUGAAUUCUGAACCUAUAACUAAAUAAGUUAAAACUUUCAACAACGGAUCUCUUGGUUCUGGCAUCGAUGAAGAACGCAGCGAAAUGCGAUAAGUAAUGUGAAUUGCAGAAUUCAGUGAAUCAUCGAAUCUUUGAACGCAUAUUGCGCCCAUUAGUAUUCUAGUGGGCAGGACCGUUCGAGCGUCAUUUCAACCCUUAAGCCUUCGUUGCUUAGUGUUGGGAGCCUACGGCAACGUAGCUCCUCAAAGUUAGUGGCGGAGUUGGUUCACACUCUAGACGUAGUAAUUUUUUAUCUCGCCUAUUAGUUGGACUAAUCCCCUGCCGUAAAACCCCCAAUUUAUCAAGGUUGACCUCGAAUCGGUUCAGACAAACUCGCUAAAUUGAAGCAUCUUAGUCAGCGAAGGAAAAGAAACCAACAGGGAUUGCCCUAGUAACGGCGAGUGAAGCGGCAACAGCUCAAAUUUGAAAUCUGGCCCUCGGGUCCGAGUUGUAAUUUGUAGAGGAUGCUUUUGGCGCGGUGCCUUCCGAGUUCCCUGGAACGGGACGCCUUAGAGGGUGAGAGCCCCGUACGGUUGGACACCAAGCCUCUGUAAAGCUCCUUCGACGAGUCGAGUAGCUUGGGAAUGCUGCUCUAAAUGGGAGGUAAAUUUCUUCUAAAGCUAAAUAUUGGCCAGAG
rnacentral:rRNA from 1 species